rnacentral:rRNA from 1 species
CCUACGGGUGUCAGCAGUGAGGAAUAUUGGUCAAUGGGCGCGAGCCUGAACCAGCCACGUAGCGUGAAGGAUGACUGCCCUACGGGUUGUAAACUUCUUUUAUAAAGGAAUAAAGUGAGGCACGUGUGCCUUUUUGUAUGUACUUUAUGAAUAAGGAUCGGCUAACUCCGUGCCAGCAGCCGCGGUAAUACGGAGGAUACGAGCGUUAUCCGGUUUUAUUGGGGUUAAAGGGAGCGUAGAUGGGUUGUUACGUCAGUUGUGAAAGUUUGCGGCUCAACCGUAAAAUUGCAAUUGAUACUGGCAGCCUUGAGUACAGUUGAGGUAGGCGGAAUUAGUGGUGUAGCGGUGAAAUGCUUAGAGAUCACGCAGAACUCCGAUUGCGAAGGCAGCUUACUAAGCCAUAACUGACACUGAAGCACGAAAGCGUGGGGAUCAAACAGGAUUAGAUACCCGGGUAGUC